ACUGCACCUUUGGGAGUAGACGGGAGUCCUGAUAUGAGCCAAAUGUUUAAGAAAAAGAUCAAGUGGGAAAUGGGAGCAGACAGUAACCAAGUGGAUUUCAAUACAGGAAGACUGAGCAAAUGUGACAAGAAAUAAACAGAAAAGGCAGUGGAGGUGGUGCAGGAGUAUAAUGCUGGGACUGCUUUUCUGAGGAUCCGAAAACACUCUGCUGCUGUUAACUUGACUGGAGGCUGAAGACUCUGAUUGUUUCACAGGUUUUUGUCUUCAGUUGUGUUAAUGUACAGUUGGUUGAAAAAACCCAGAAAAUUAUAAGCAAAUUAGAGAAACUCUUCUCCUAUAUUCUGGCAAGCUUUAGAACUGGUUCUGUUUUUUCUUACCAGAAAACAUGCCUCAUAUUCCAUUUGCUCUAGGACGUGUAACAGCAGUAUUCUUUUGACAAUAUUAUUCAUUGCUUUUUUGUAACCACAUUUCUGCAUGUUCAAAGUGCUGCAGAAACACUAGGCCUUUGUUUUCCGUUUUCUUUCUUUCUUUUUUUUUUUUUAAACAGGAUCUCUGAACAGGGCAGUAUUCAUAACUUUGAAAACAUAACAAUGCAUAUGUGUCUGAAUUAUAUGAAUAAUACAGACAGUAAACACUUAUUGACAAACACUU